rnacentral:tRNA from 1 species
GGAAAUGCAGAGCUAUUUGGCGAGGCUAAUUUGGUUGCUAACUGAACGAAUUAUAUUCUUGAAGGUUCGAAUCCUUUCGUUUCCG